AAAACUUUCUUUUAAAAACAUUCUCACAACUAAAAAAUUAGUAUUUAGAUAAAUGGAGCAACAAUCUGAAAUCCAAUCAAAUGUUUCAGAUAGCAUGAAUACUCAAGAAACAAAGGUCGCAGUCCUAGAAGCGUAUGUGCUAGCCUAAAAGGUGAGUGACACAAAGAACCAUUGGAUUUUGAUUUGCUAUGCCUUCAAUCUAAUGGGUUUAAGAAUGGAAUGUUCUCCCAAAAUCGAUUGUAAAAAGCGGUUUGUGUCCUCAUUGAAGUUCAUUCGAAAAAAAAGGAAGGAACAAAGAACAACAAUAAAGAAAAUCUGAAAUCAUCUUUCGAGUUAUAGUUCGAUUUCUAAGUUGAAAUAGCUUGAUGUCAAAGCUCUAGUUUGCUGCCCUAUACAAGGUCAGUAGUCUCCAUUGUAUUUUGUUUCAAAAUUUUUGUUUAUGAAACUGGGUGGUUGUUUGAAUUCCUGUUUCUUUGCAUUUGUAUGAGCUCCCCUGAUUUGCAUAAGUUAGUAAUUUCUGUAUGAA